UUACAAGGAUAUGAAAAUGCUCAGUUCUUUUUUCUGUUGUAAAGGACCUUUCAUGAUCCUCUGUUGUUUUUUUCUAAAAUUAUAGAGGUACAUAACACUACAGGGAGAUAACUCUGUAAAAAUCGGCUGAAUGUUUUAAUUAUGUUCUAUUGUUCAGGAAAUAUCAAGCUUCUCAAUGAUCAAAAUUGGUGUUAGUCAAACUGCUAUUUGUGCAACAAAAAUUUUCCAAUAAAG
rnacentral:lncRNA from 1 species